GAUUAANCGCUGGCGGCAUGCCUAAUACAUGCAAAUCGAACGAUCUUCUUUGAAGAGAGUGGUGAACGGGUGAGUAAUAUAUGUCUAACCUACCCCAACGUGGGGGAUAACUACCUGAAAAGGUAGCUAAUACCGCAUAGGAUAUAGGAUGGUAUCUUCUUAUAUUUAAAGGUGCGUUUGCACCGCGAUGGGAUGGGGACAUACGACAUUAGCUAGUUGGUGAGGUAAGAGCUCACCAAGGCGACGAUGUCUAGCCGGGUUGAGAGACCGACCGGCCACAAGGGGACUGAGACACGGCCCCUACUCCUACGGGAGGCUGCAGUAGGGAAUUUUCCACAAUGGGCGAAAGCCUGAUGGAGCAAUGCCGCGUGAGGGAUGACACAUUUCGGUGCGUAAACCUCUGUUGUUAGGGAAGAACAACUAAGAUAGGAAAUGAUCUUAGCUUGACGGUACCUUUCCAGAAAGUCACGGCAAACUAUGUGCCAGCAGCCGCGGUAAUACAUAGGUGGCAAGCGUUAUCCGGAUUUAUUGGGCGUAAAGAGUGCACAGGUGGUCAAGUAAGUCAGAUGUUAAAUUCUGGGGCUCAACCCCAGCCUGCAUUUGAAACUGCUAGACUAGAAUAUCGGUGGGAGUAGUGGAAUUCCAUGUGUAGCGGUGGAAUGCAUAAAUAUAUGGAGGAACACCAGUGGCGAAGGCGGCUACUUGAACGAUUAUUGACACUUAAGCACGAAAGCGUGGGGAGCAAAUAGGAUUAGAUACCCUAGUAGUCCACGCCGUAAACGAUCUUGACUAGCUGUUGGUUUAACCAGUGGCGCAGCUAACGCAUUAAGUCAAGCGCCUGGGGAGUACGUGCGCAAGCAUAAAACUCAAAGGAAUUGACGGGGACCCGCACAAGCGGUGGAGCAUGUGGAUUAAUUCGAAGAUACGCGAAGAACCUUACCUGCGUUUGACAUACUUGGCGAAGCUAUAGAGAUAUAGUGGAGGUUAACCGAUGUACAGGUGGUGCAUGGUUGUCGUCAGCUCGUGUCGUGAGAUGUUCGGUUAAGUCCGGCAACGAGCGCAACCCCUGUCUUAUGUUGCUAACAUUUAGUUGAGGACUCAUGAGAGACUGCCUGGGUAACCAGGAGGAAGGUGGGGAUGACGUCAAAUCAUCAUGCCCCUUAUAUGCAGGGCUUCACACGUGCUACAAUGGGGAUUACAAAGAGUCGCGAUACCGCGAGGUGGAGCUAAUCUCAAAAAAAUCCUCUCAGUCCGGAUUGGAGUCUGCAACUCGACUCCAUGAAGUUGGAAUCGCUAGUAAUCGUGAAUCAGCAAUGUCACGGUGAAUACGUUCUCGGGUCUUGUACACACCGCCCGUCAAACUACGGAAGUCGGCAAUGCCUAAAACCAGUGUCCUAACCUUUUGGAGGGAGCUGUCUAGGGUAGGGUUGAUGACUGGAGUU
rnacentral:rRNA from 1 species